UGCUUGGAAUUGAAGGAGUUCAAUAAUUGAGAAUAUCCAGAAGUCACUAAGAUGGUAUCAUGGAGAUGACAUGGCUGGUGAAAAAAGCUUUUUGUAUGGACCAUCACCGGCAAAUCAGCGGAUAGAAAGAUUCUGGCGGUCUGCAAAACAGGGUGGUUGUCAGUUCUGGAUGGAUUUAUUUAAGGAUUUAGAAGCUUCAGGAGAGAUUAAUACCGAAAAUGGCCAAAACAAAGAAUGUUUCAGGUUUUGCUUCACAAAUCUCAUUCAAAAAGACUUAGACCAAAUCCGUAAAGACUGGAAUCAACAUAAGAUGAGACCAACUAAAGGGGCAGAGUGUCCUGCAGGCAAACCAGACUUGUUAUAUUUUACUCCACAAUUGUUUGAUACAGUUGAUUACAAGACCGAAGUUGCUGUUGAAGAUCUUGAUAGUUUUAGUCAGUUUUGUAAAUUUUAUGGACCCAACGGUUGUUUAAGAGAAUUUGAAAAUGUAUGCUCAGAAUUGUUAGUGCAGGCCGGAAAAGAGAUGCCAAAUGAUCCAGAAGAGGCAUUAGAAUUAUAUAGUUGGCUAAAAAUGAGAAGUGACUAAUUAAACAUACAGUGUUUGUGGACCCUCUAGAGGGUACAAUUUUUAUAUGAUUUUGAUGAAACUUGAAAUGUAUGGUUAUAGAAUAUAACCCAAAGAUCUUGAUUUCUUUCGAUGUGGUCCCUCUAGAGGUCACAAUUAUUAUCCGAUUUACAAAACCGUUCCACUGUAUAUUUCACUGUUACAUAGUUAUGAUGGUUGAGCUCGAAUUUCAUAAAAAUUGGACUGAUAGUGUAAAAGUAGGUUAUGUAAUACCAUGGUUGUUAAUCAUCUGGAGGUCACA